UACGGAGGAUGCGAGCGUUAUCCGGAUUUAUUGGGUUUAAAGGGUGCGUAGGCGGCUUUUUAAGUCAGCGGUGAAAUUUUGCAGCUUAACUGUAACAGUGCCGUUGAUACUGGGGAGCUAGGAUUUGGUUGCUGUGGGCGGAAUGUGUGGUGUAGCGGUGAAAUGCUUAGAGAUCACACAGAACACCGAUUGCGAAGGCAGCUCACAAAGCCACAUCUGACGCUGAGGCACGAAAGCGUGGGGAGCAAACAGGAUUA
rnacentral:rRNA from 1 species